AUUGAACGCUGGCGGCAGGCCUAACACAUGCCAGUCGAGCGGAUGAAGGGAGCUUGCUCCUGGAUUCAGCGGCGGACGGGUGAGUAAUGCCUAGGAAUCUGCCUGGUAUUGGGGGAUAACGUCCGGAAACGGGCGCUAAUACCGCAUACGUCCUGAGGGAGAAAGUGGGGGAUCUUCGGACCUCACGCUAUCAGAUGAGCCUAGGUCGGAUUAGCUAGUUGGUGGGGUGAAGGCCUACCAAGGCGGCGAUCCGUAACUGGUCUGAGAGGAUGAUCAGUCACACUGGAACUGAGACACGGUCCAGACUCCUACGGGAGGCAGCAGUGGGGAAUAUUGGACAAUGGGCGAAAGCCUGAUCCAGCCAUGCCGCGUGUGUGAAGAAGGUCUUCGGAUUGUAAAGCACUUUAAGUUGGGAGGAAGGGCAGUAAGUUAAUACCUUGCUGUUUUGACGUUACCAACAGAAUAAGCACCGGCUAACUUCGUG
rnacentral:rRNA from 1 species